AUACGUAGGGAGCGAGCGUUGUCCGGAAUUACUGGGUGUAAAGGGAGCGUAGGCGGGAUGGCAAGUCAGAUGUGAAAACUAUGGGCUCAACCCAUAGACUGCAUUUGAAACUGUUGUUCUUGAGUGAAGUAGAGGUAAGCGGAAUUCCUGGUGUAGCGGUGAAAUGCGUAGAUAUCAGGAGGAACAUCGGUGGCGAAGGCGGCUUACUGGGCUUUUACUGACGCUUAGGCUCGAAAGCGUGGGGAGCAAACAGGAUUAGAUUCCCUGGUAGUCCACGCUGUAAACGAUGAUUACUAGGUGUGGGGGGACUGACCCCUUCCGUGCCGCAGUUAACACAAUAAGUAAUCCACCUGGGGAGUACGGCCGCAAGGUUGAAACUCAAAGGAAUUGACGGGG
rnacentral:rRNA from 1 species